UGAAACAUCUUCAAUCGAAUC
rnacentral:piRNA from 1 species